rnacentral:rRNA from 1 species
CAAGUUGCGCCCAAAGCCUUCCGGCUGAGGGCACGUCUGCCUGGGUGUCACUCA